rnacentral:rRNA from 1 species
GGGUCAGUAGGUUGGUCGUGCCACCGGUACGUACUGGUCUCACUGAUUCCUCCUUCCUGAAGAACCGUAAUGCCAUUAAUUUGGUGUUGCGGGGAAACAGGACUGUUACUUUGAAAAAAUUUGAGUGUUUAAAGCAAGCUAACGCUUGAAUACAUUAGCAUGGAAUAAUGAAAUAGGACGAUCGAUCCUAUUUUGUUGGUUUCUAGGAUUGACGUA